rnacentral:tRNA from 1 species
AGACUUAGGAUAACAAGACCAAAGGCCUUCAAAGCC